CUCAAACAAUCUAAGCUGCAGGAGCUCAAUGGAAAGAAGCAGAAGAUCCAGAACAACCUGCAGACCCUGAAGAAAGAGCUGGAGAACAAAAACAAAGAGCUGGAGACAAUCAAAGCCACCCUAUCCCAGUCUUCCUGGUGGCCUUGGUGGAGUCACAGAAAAGAAGACGAGCAGAAGAAGAAUAAAGCUGAGCAGGAAGUGGAGACACUGAAGAAGAAGAUAGAGACUCAUCAGAAGGAAUUGGACACCAAAAUCAAA